AAUGUGGCUGCAGUCCGUGCUGCUGCCUCUCCUCAGGCUGUACCUCUGCGGAAUGAAAGUUCUCUUCUAUCAGAUGUUCAACAGAUCUUUCACGCUACCAGGGCUACAAGGGGCUCCAGGAGGCCAAAGCAUGCUGGGAGCGAUGCACACCGACAAAUUGAAAGUCGUCAUCUGGUUCUCGUGGGCGUUGCCCUGGAUGCCGUGCAGCAUGGCCAACAGGUAGCGCAGCAACACGGCAUUUUCUUUGGGCAGGCGGUAAAUCAUCCUGCAGAGAUACACAACCAGGGAAUACAAUGAUGUAACAGUCUGUAGGUGAAGAUCAGCCACAUGUUCAAGCAUCUGGAAAAACAUGCUGUGUCCAAUAAUUUAACGGAAGGAUAAAUAAAACCAUAUAGAGUGUGAGCAUGUUACCUCUUUAUGUCCUGCACUUGUUCUUCCUCCUCCUCCUCCUCUUCCUCCAGCACAUCCAUCCAUUCUUCAUGCAGCUCACAACAGAACAAGCUGCUUGGGAUGCUGCGCAAGAAAUCCUGAAAACAUGCGCACAUCACAUUAAAUUCAUUGUUUGUAUUUCCAGGAGAGUUGGUGUAAAACCUUUAUCACUUGGUAUAAAAGAGAUUUGAUUGAGACAAUAUCAAUACAACCAUUAAUAUAAAAGAUCUCCGGUGCUGUCGUGUAAAUAUGCGACAUGCACUCGUGCUCAGAGGCUCUUUGUUAUCCCUCCAGAUAAUAAGAGAUUAUAAUCCAGGCUGCUGUGAACAGCUUGUCCUGGUAACAUAGCCGGGGAAGCGGAUUCGUUUUGUGCUUACUGAUUUGAGUCAAUAAGGUGACGAACACAUGCACGCCCUCAAAAACUGUGCCACUACGUUGCUAGAUGUUUCUAAAACCCCCUGGUCUCAUUAAAGAUGAAUAUGAAGAUGAAGGGGCAAAGUGCUUUUUUGAAUAAUCCACCUAAAACAUACACGCUCAUACUGUCUCACCUUAAAGACUCCGGCAAUGAGGAAGACGUGGUCUCUUGUCAGAGGGAGUUGAAACUCUCCGGCGUCCAGAGAGUCCCGCAGCUCCCUGACGGCCCGAGCGCCCGCCGGCCGUCGGAAGAUUCCCCGCGUCCACGAGCCCUCGUGGUAGAGGAACGCCAUCAUGUCCUGGUGAGAGCGGGAGAGAGGAGGGUGUAUUUCUUGCUUUUUCUUUACAGAACUGAGUGAGACUCACCAUCACUGGCUUUGGCAGAGCGUCCUCUACGCAGACAGAGCUGAGCGGCAGGCCGAACAGGCAGCCGCGUGGCGCGCCGGCGAGGGACAGCUCAUUCAGGUGAGGGGAGGAGCCUCUCCAGAAGGCCCAGGUGAUGAGGGAACGCCUCCUUCUAAAUGGCUUCUGAGACCACUCUAACAACCAAAAGAUGACACGAUAUCCCAGAAUGCAUCAGCAAAAACACUCAAUCUGCUAUUUUUAUCACUUUCUUUUCAAUGAAUGAAUAGUGACAUCACCUGCAGGUAUGUGCAGCGUUUCAAUGGGUCGCGGCUUCAUGAUGAACUGGCACUGCUUGUACACCUGCAUCUGCUCCACCUGCAUGGCCCUCUGUCCGUCGGCAUCCCUUCCGCCGCCUCCCGGAGACAUCGUGUGUCUCACAUGACUCAUCUGGAUGCUGAAGGGAAACUCAUGACCUGAGACAGGAAGGAGAAGACGGCAGCAUCACUCCCUGGAGGCCUUUGAUAGAGUAUCAAACAUCAACAGCACCAUAACGUGGUAUUAUUAGUCAGCGCACACGCUGUGACCCCCUCGCUGCCACCCUGAAGGAGGCCGAUUACACAGCAAACACUCUUCUCUGGGAAUGACUGCUUACGAGUGUGUUUAAAAAAACCGCCUUGACACUUAGAGCAGCGCCCCCCUUUCAGAAGCAGAAAGAAAAGGCCACGCAGCAAUUUAAAGACAGGAUCAGAUAUUUUGUCGAUCUGGUCUAGACCUCACUCACUGACCAAUCAGAGGGUAGGGGGCGUUGUCCCUCUUGGAGAUGACCCACAACUGGAAGUCUUUCACGUUUCCCUGAGCGAAACAGAGACACAGACGGUCAGAAAAACAAGCCGUGCAACGAGACGGCCUCAGAGAAAGAAAACAACCACACGGACUGUCCCUCUGAGGAGAAAUGAAUUUUUAGGAGACGCAAAUGUGACAAAGAAUGUUUUUUCUCUCAGCUUUUACAUGCUGUGUGGUAAUAUCACAUGUAACAAUAGGCUGCAGGGCUUCUGUGAAAACUUCCCCCUCUGUUGUUCUGUGUUUGGGAGUUGAAAAUAAAUCGGAUAACUUUUUGGAC